GCUCUUAUGGUGUAAUGGUUAGCACUCUGGACUUUGAAUCCAGCGAUCCGGGUUCAAAUCCCGGCAGGAGCU
rfam:Phytophthora infestans T30-4 supercont1.1 genomic scaffold, whole genome shotgun sequence.